rnacentral:rRNA from 1 species
GAAUAUUGCACAAUGGAGGAAACUCUGAUGCAGCGACGCCGCGUGAGCGAUGAAGGCUUUCGAGUCGUAAAGCGCUGUCCUAGGGGACGAUACUGACGGUACCCUAGGCGGAAGCCCCGGCCAACUACGUCCACCCAGCCGCGGUAAUACGGAGGGGGCGAGCGUUGUCCGGAAUUAGUGGGCGUAAAGGGUUCGCAGGCGGCCUUUUAAGUCAGAUGUGAAAGCCCACGGCUUAACCGUGGUAAGCAUUUGAAACUGGAAGGCUUGAGUUAAGGAGAGGAAAGUGGAAUUCCUAGUGUAGCGGUGAAAUGCGUAGAUAUUAGGAGGAAUACCAGUGGCGAAGGCGACUUUCUGGACUUAUACUGACGCUGAGGAACGAAAGCGUGGGGAGCAAACAGG